UACGGAGGAUCCAAGCGUUAUCCGGAAUCAUUGGGUUUAAAGGGUCCGUAGGCGGUUUUGUAAGUCAGGGGUGAAAGCCCAUCGCUCAACGGUGGAACGGCCAUUGAUACUGCAAGACUUGAAUUAUUAGGAAGUAACUAGAAUAUGUAGUGUAGCGGUGAAAUGCUUAGAGAUUACAUGGAAUACCAAUUGCGAAGGCAGGUUACUACUAAUAUAUUGACGCUGAUGGACGAAAGCGUGGGGAGCGAACAGG
rnacentral:rRNA from 1 species